UCUGCACCAUUCACAAGUGUGCAAAAAAAAAAAAAAAAAGGUUGUAAUGAUCGUAUAGCAUGCAGGGCCUCUUUGUGAAUGCGGGCUCAUGUAAAACACGCCGCCGUGCUAGUCUGGGUGGGCCUUGUCAAUGUAGGCCAUGUACGCUCAUUUUCAUUACACACACACACACACACACACACAAACACACACACACACACACACACACAUGCAAGCCCUUUGCCACCUUGACAAAUAUCUUUAGAGGAGGUUGCCAUGUCAGCUGGGCCUUGGAUGGGCUAAAAAACACAGGAACAGGUGUCCCCCCCCCCCAGAGUGUGUGUGCGUGCAUACGUUCGUGUGUUCGUGGAGACCGGAGAUACACACACAUACCUUGCAUCCUCUCAUUUGUGCCAAAAAAAAAAAAAAAAACAGCAUUAAAAAUAUGAGUCGCUUUUGUCUCACCGUUGCUCGCAGGGAGAGAAGAAGAGCACAUAAUAAAUCCUCGUGUCGUGUUCAACAACACCUGUUAUGCAUAAAUCCACGCAGGGGGGAAAAAGCUGGGAACAGGCGAUCAACAACAGUACCGCCAACAGCUGAUCACACAAUCCGAGAUGAAGCUUGAGCCACAUUUAAGAGGCGGCUAACGGGAAAAGAGAACUAUAUCCACUGAGUGUAAACAGUCUCUGCUGCAUCACGUCGCGGGUGGAUCUCCGGAGGACAAACGGAAACUAUAUCGUCUUCCGUGCAUUUAUCCAAAUGAUGUCAGAUUUUCAAUGCUUAUAAAAACCCACCCACAGACGGCAGAGACGACCGUGCGGCCCCUAAAUGAACGCGCUUGACGUGGAUUUUGUCCGCACAGACAAGUCUUCCAUUUCUCCAUCUUUCUCCGUGCGGGGGGUGGGGGAAGGCCGAUGAAUUUCCACGCAGACACUUGAAAUACAGCCUUUGUUUUGCUCCCCCGGCGAAGCUUGAGUUUCCCGGAAAAUAUAUGACAAAAAAAAAGAAAAAAGGCGCCCCGUCCGAGGGAAAAUGAAAAAAAAAAACAGGCAAACGGAUAAAGAUUCACAUCGUCAACGAUGUCGAAAUGACGAAGACCGGGAGGAGGAAUGAUUAAUAAAGAAGAAGAAAAGGGCAAAAAAAGGCAGCUGGAUUGAGCGAAUUAUUCCUGAAUAAUCCCAAUUAUGGCUGCUCGCUCGGGUCGCAGCUCGUACAUUUGCGGAAUCACUCGGUUCUCUUCGGAGAAAGAGAGAGAGGCGGGGUGAGUCAACUCGCUUUCAGAAGAUCUCCGAAAUGAUUGGGCAAAAGCCCAACAAGUGACUACGAGGCGCCAUGUUGGACACCAUCAUGGAGACGCCGGUGUGCACACCGCGUUUGGGAGGUGAAAAUGGGAAGUUGUUGUCCACUUUGCAGCUGUAACAGCUUUGCCUUUCUGAGGAGACUUCCUGCAAGAUGUUAGAGUGUGUCCGUGGGAAGAAGAACAUUUGUGAAGUCAAAUGUCACUGGAGUUGAGCCUGAGAAAUGGUGUGCUGAGUGCUGACUUGCCAUCUCAUCCCGUUGGGGUUUAGGGUUGCGGGGGUGCUGGAGCCUAUCUCAGCUACAAUCAGGCGGAAGGCGGUGUACACCCUGGACAAGUCGCCAUCUCAUCACAGACAGAGAGACCUGUGAUUGAGAAAUAUAUUGAUUAAGAGGUGUGUCUUAAUUGUUGAACAUGUAUACCGUACCGUAUUUUACAUAUUUUCUUUGUUACAUGUCCAAAAAGGAGUAGGAAGAAGCAAAGCUUAUCUAAUCGUCCCCCUUUUUUACUUCAUGAGAAUCACUAGCACAUACUUCCUGUUCUCAACUUGUACACAAUUCCAUGAUCAAUAUGUUCCAAAUACAUAAUUUAUUCUCAUAUGUGGUUAAAUCAGUUAUGAUUGGCUUAAUGACAUGAAUAAUAUUUCAUUUUCAAUAAAUGUAUGACAUUUAUCAUAAUUAUUCUCCUUUGUACUUUGUAAACACUUGUAGUUUGACCAGCCUCUUAAACUGUAUUAUAUUAUUACAUUGUUUGAUUUAUUUGCUUAAUCCAUUCCAUAAUUGAAUUCCACAUACUGCCAUGCUAAAAGUUUCAGGUGUUGUACAUGCAAACAAAUGUUUUCAGUGAGAUGUAUAUUUUAAAUGUCUAAUUGUUCUCUUUUGGUGAGAAUAAUUUUUGGUCAUUUUUGGGUUGCAGGUUAUAGUUUGCUUUGUACAUAAAUUAAGCUGUUUGCAAAUGCAAAAAAACAAUGAGUUUGGAACCAAAACAUCAAAAAUUGCAAAAGUAGAGCAAAAAGGCCGAAUCUAAAGAAAAAAAUCUCAAAUGUUGAUACAAAUAUCUAAUAAUAACAAAAAAAAAGCGAGGUUUCGAAAAAACAUAGACUAGAAUGGAAUAGGGCUUUAUUGUCUGUUUCUACAUGAAAAACAGAAAUAUGUCUUUUACAAGGCUUUGGUUACAAAGUUAAUAAGCAGAUUUACACUAUAAUAGAUAUACAAGAGCAACAGUUCCGCCUGUUUUAUCGUUAUCUAGAACAGUUAUUGCAGAUGGGAUGAAUGAUUUCUUAAAAACGUUUUUCCUGGCCAUUGGGGUUCCGUAUCGUCUGCCUGAUGGCAACAGCGUGAAGGACUGAUGCAAGGGGUGGGAGGGGUCCUCCGUUAUGAAGAUGGCCUUCUUUCCCAUUGAGUGCCCAUGAAGUUUAGUCAGAGGAAGUUGAACUGUUUUGGUUAUUUUCCUGGCCUGAUUUGUUAUGUGGGAGACUUUUGUUGUGGUGGUGACAUUGAGGAAGUUGAACCAGGAUGAGAUGGUAUAGAAUCAAGUAGAUUCGGUAAGUAAUCUGUAAACAGGAGUUAAAAUGUAUUUCUUGAUAUUAAAAGUCCUCAGUUAUCUGAGCAAAUGUAGGCGCUGUUGUGCCUUUUUGCAGAGUGAGUCAGCAUGUUGUGAAAAGGACUUUUAAAACUCUGUACCUGCUCCACCUGCUGGCCUUGUAUGCAUAGUGGUCGGAACAGGUGCUCUGCAGGGUACAUGCAUAGAAACAUACCAUCCAUCCAUCCAUCUUCUUCCGCUUAUCUGAGGUCGGGUAGCGGGGGCAGCAGCCUAAGCAGGGAAGCCCAGACUUCCCUCUCCCCAGCCACUUUGUCCAGCUCUUCCCGGGGAUCCCGAGGCUUCCCAAGCCAGGGUGGGUACUCUGAGCUGCUGUUUGGUGCGUAAGCACAAACAACAGUCAGGACCCGUCCCCCCCACCCGAAGGCGGAGUGAAGCUACCCUCUCGUCCACUGGGUUGAACUCCAACGUACAGGCUUUGAGCUGGGGGACAACAAGAAUUGCCACUCCAGCCCGUCGCCUCUCACUGCCGGCAACGCCAGAGUGGAAGAAAGUCCAUUCCCUCUCGAGAGAACUGGUUCCAGAGCCCUUGCUGUGCGUCGAGGUGAGUCCAACUAUAUCCAACCGGAACUUCUCUACCUCCCGCACUAGUUCAUGCUCCUUCCCCCCCAGUGAGGUGACGUUCCACGUUCCAAGAGCCAUCUUAUGUAGCCGAGGAUCGGACCGCCAAGGGCCCUGCCUUCGGCUGCCGCCCAGCUCACAAUGCACCCGACCUCUAUGGCCCCUCCCGUGAGUGUUGAGCCCAUUGGAAGAAUGACCCACCUUGCCUCUUCAGGCUGUGGCCACCAGGCGCUCGCCAUCAUACCCCAACUCCGGGCCUAACUCCAGAUCGGGGCCCCGGUGACCCGCGUCCGGGCGAGGGAAAUCUGAUUCCAUUUUGUUGUGUAUCAACAGAAGUCUUCGAGUUGCUCUUUGUCUGAUCCCUCACCUAGGACCUGUUUGUCUCUGGGAGACCCUACCAGGGGGCAUGAAAGCCCCCGGACAACAUAGCUCCUAGGAUCAUCGGGACACGCAAACUCCUCUUAUGAUUAGCAACAAGGGAGUCCUCUCUGUCAGUUGAUAUUGUGGCAGAGCUUCAAUUCUACACGCUGAAACGGAUGUCUUAGAUCCCUUUUCUUAGGAGAUGCUUUAUGUCGGCAUAAAGACGGCAACUUACUGGGACACACUGUCACAGCAGUACCAAGGCUGAGUGAGUUGCAGUUUAGGAGACAUUCAAGACAAUCAUCCACCUGUGCUGCAGCGUGAGUGGACAAUGUGUGCCAUCACCAGAUGGAUGCUCUUGGUCACAGGCACCAGAUGGAUGAGGAGCAAUCUGUUAACAUACAACAGUAAGAGCACAGUGACAGCUCACAGUGGAAAAAAACAAGAAAUGACAGUUAUUUGUAUGUUAGUAAAGAACAUUUUACCUCAUAUACAUUUUUCUAUUAGACAUUUUGACACAUCUGCAGAUGGUUUUAAAAUUGUCUAAUUUAACUAGAAUAUACGCUUAAGAGUUUAAUUUGAUAUGGAUU